AUGGCCGACGCCGCCGAGCAGUCCCAGUACGGCGAGCGCCUACCGCAUAGCGCACCCGUCGUAUCCCGGCGCACCUACACCCCGUACCAGCCUGAGGGCCUCAACCUCCCCUCGUACCAAGCGAUCUACGAUCUGCCGACCUCGCCGGAGGUCCUCUUCCCGGAGGAGAACCGCACCUGGGGCAGAAACCUCACGCUAUACCCCGGCUGUGGGUACCUCGCCGGUGCCGCGGCGGGGGCCGCCACGGGGUUCAAGCGCGCGGUGGCGGAGGCGGAGCGCGGCGAGUCGUUCAAGCUGCGCACCAGCCGCGUGCUCAACCACUGCGGCUCCGUGGGACGGAGGUACGGCAACCAUGUCGCCUUGAUCGGGCUGCUCUUCGCGGGGACCGAGUGCGCCGUGGGCAAUCUUCGCGACGCUGACGACUGGCGCAACAUCAUCGCCGCAGGGUUUGGAACCGGCAUGCUCUACCGUGCACCUUCGGGCCCGCGAUCCGCCAUCGUUGGUGCCGCAGUCGGGGGCCUCAUGGCUGCUGCCGCCGUCGCAGGGAACCAGGUGUUCAAGAGAAACGACCGUACCCCGCCCUUCUAA
rnacentral:rRNA from 1 species